UACGGGGGGGGCAAGCGUUGUUCGGAAUUACUGGGCGUAAAGGGCUCGUAGGUGGCCAACUAAGUCAGACGUGAAAUCCCUCGGCUUAACCGGGGAACUGCGUCUGAUACUGGAUGGCUUGAGUUCGGGAGAGGGAUGCGGAAUUCCUGGUGUAGCGGUGAAAUGCGCAGAUAUCAGGAGGAACACCAAUGGCGAAGGCAGCUCGCUGGAACGGUACUGACGCUGAGGCGCGAAAGCGUGGGGAGCGAACAGG
rnacentral:rRNA from 1 species